GUCACGCCCGAAGUCGUUACCCCAACCGAAAGGGGGGGGAUGCCUAAGGUAGGACUGAUGACUGGGGUGAAGUCGUAACAAGGUAGCCGUACCGGAAGGUGUGGCUGGAUCACCUCCUUUUAGGGAGACCUAAUCCAUUUAGAAAUCGAAAACAAUGAAAAUUGUCAAUAGAAACUAAAGUGGUCUAACCUAGGUCGUUCGAGAUUGGUAGAUAUCUUUCAAAGUAUUAUUCGGCUUCGUUCAAAACCAUAUAUAAUAAAUGGAAAAAGACAGCACCUAAUUGUCAAAGUUAGACUGCUGGAUGAAAUUCCAGCCAGAACCUUGAAAACUGCAUAAGAGAACGAGAAAAAGCAGGCAGACACAGACAUUUAGAUGGAUGUGAAAGCAAAGAAAAAUUGUGGUCAAGCUAAUAAGGGCUAAUGGUGGAUACCUAGGCACACAGAGGAAGGGC
rnacentral:misc_RNA from 1 species